rnacentral:rRNA from 1 species
GAUGAACGCUGGCGGCGUGCUUAACACAUGCAAGUCGAACGGAAAGGCCAGUGCUUGCACUGGUACUCGAGUGGCGAACGGGUGAGUAACACGUGGGUGAUCUGCCCUGCACUUCGGGAUAAGCCUGGGAAACUGGGCCUAAUACCGGAUAGGACAAUGGCUUCGAUGCCGUUGUGGAAAGUUUUUUCGGUGUGGGAUGAGCUCGCGGCCUAUCAGCUUGUUGGUGGGGUAAUGGCCUAGCAAGGCGUCUACGGGGAGCCGGCCUGAGAGGGUGUACGGCCACACUAGGACUGGGAUGCGGCCCAGACUCCUACAGGAGGGAGCAGUGGGGAAUGUUGCACAAUGGGCGAAAGCCUGAUGCGGCGACGCCGCGUGGGGGAUGACGGCCUUCGGGUUGUAAACUCCGUUCGCUGGGGACGAAGCGUAUUUGUGACGGUACCUGGAGAAGAAGCACCGGCUAACUACGUG